rnacentral:rRNA from 1 species
UACGGAGGGUGCAAGCGUUAUCCGGAUUCACUGGGUUUAAAGGGUGCGUAGGUGGGCUAGUAAGUCCGUGGUGAAAUCUCUGAGCUUAACUCGGAAACUGCCGUGGAUACUAUUAGUCUUGAAUCUCGUGGAGGUAAGCGGAAUAUGUCAUGUAGCGGUGAAAUGCUUAGAUAUGACAUAGAACACCGAUAGCGAAGGCAGCUUGCUACACGAGUAUUGACACUGAGACGCGAAAGCGUGGGGAGCGAACAGG